UUGUGGGGUGCUCGAGUGGCGAACGGGUGAGUAACACGUGGGUAACCUGCCCUUGACUUUGGGAUAACUUCAGGAAACUGGGGCUAAUACCGGAUAGGAGCUCCUGCUGCAUGGUGGGGGUUGGAAAGUUUCGGCGGUUGGGGAUGGACUCGCGGCUUAUCAGCUUGUUGGUGGGGUAGUGGCUUACCAAGGCUUUGACGGGUAGCCGGCCUGAGAGGGUGACCGGCCACAUUGGGACUGAGAUACGGCCCAG
rnacentral:rRNA from 1 species